GUUUGCCUCUUUAAGUUGUAAGCUUUUUAUUGUAACUUUUUUAGAAUGCUGCCUUAGAAAGAGAGAUUGGUUCUUUAAAAGAACAAAAUGCUGUUUUACAACAGCAAGGAACAAUAAUUGAACAAUUAGAAACCGUGAGAUCUCAAUUAUUGGGGAUUCAACAAUAUAUGGAAACUCAAAGGGAAAAGGAGAGUAUCCAGAAGAACAAAACCCGAAAUGUCUAUCCG